AUCCUCUCUCCUUCUCCUCUACCCAUGUACUCCUCUGUUUCUAUCACUCCUCCCAUCCUCUCUCCUUCUCCUCUACCCAUGUACUCCUCUGUUUCUAUCACUCCUCCUCCCAUCCUCUCUCCUCCUCUACCCAUGUACUCCUCUGUUUCUAUCACUCCUCCUCCCAUCCUCUCUCCUUCUCCUCUACCCAUGUACUCCUCCAUUUCUAUCACCCCUCCUCUUUCCAUUCUCUUAAUGAUCUUCCUGAAUCCAUCUGAAUGUGUUUUUCUAAGAUACGUCAAUGGCACAUCCACAAUUGGAUAACUAUUUAUUUUUGUAUGGAAGAGGAAUCAGAGGAGCGAGUCUAUAGAGGGAGAGAGAGACAGAUUCUGGCCCAGUCAUGUUGGAUUGCAAAUUCGAAUCAAGCUGCUCAGAAGCAAUUUCAAUGAAUCUGUGUGUGCAUUGGAGCCACAUGCUUUGUCUUGUAGCCAAUCCCACUUGGCUUAUCAGACACAAUUUGUGGUGGAUGCACCCUGUCCACACACACACUCCACUGUUACGGCCUGGCAGCCAAGAUGGCACUUCAUCCAACACUACUAAAUGUUAUUCACUUUUAUUGUGAUUGACAUUUCAGCUGUCCAGGUUGUUGAAGUAGAGUUUCCUAUAAGGACUGUACCACAUUAUUCCAUUUCCAUCUUAUUGUCACCAUUAUCAUUACUUACACUCUGAAGGACUGUACCACGUCAUAUUAUCUGUAUAUCAUGUCAAUCGACAAUUGUCGAGAGAGAGAGAGAGAGAGAGAGAGAGAGAGAGAGAGAGAGAGAGAGAUGUGUAUACACAUUAAUAUACACAAUAUAACCACUCUCCAUGUUCUGUACUGUAUGUAUUCCUGGUCCAGUGCUGCUGUGUUUAGGGAAUGAUGACAUAUUGAAGGUUUAUUUGCAUAAAGAUCUACUGUAUAAGGCUAGGUACACGAUCCAUGUGUCUGGUCCUGUGCUGCUGUGUUUAGGGAAUGAUGACAUAUUGAAGGGUUUAUUUGCAUAAAGAUCUACUGUAUAAGGCUAGGUACACGAUCCAUGUGUCUGGUCCUGACUGUGCUGCUUUGGGAGAUACGGGAGAAAGCUGUAUUAUUUAAAACGGCGUAUUAGUGUAAGGAGGAUCUAUAGGUUGUGUAUUAAGGCUUAUUGAAAGGGCUCCAUAAUGACUUCAUAUGCAUAACACCUUUUUCAACCAAUCACCUCUAUCUAACAACAUCAACAAACCUCAUGAUCAACCUCAGGCAUUAUUACUAUGUGUGGUAUGAGGUAUUUGUGCUCGCUGUUCAAAUCUGUUUCUAUUUUCUCUUCUUGUUUGUCUUCCCACUUCCUCAAUCAAUCAAUUGAAUGUAUUUAUAAAGCCCUUUUUACAUCAGCAGAUGUCACAAAGUGCUGUACAGAAACCCAGCCUAAAACCCCAAACAGCAAGCAAUGCAGGUGUAGAAGCACGGUGGCUAGGAAAAACUCCCUAGAAAGGCACAACGCAUUUUGAGCCCUAAAUGUUGACUCCUCCCCCAGUUAAACAGUGACACAGCCGACUGUAUCUGAUUUAAUAUCACUUUGUACAAUUGAACAGUAAAAGCAACCUCCGUAUUUUUCAUCGCUUCCUUUCCGUUCACCAAACUGAAACUGUGCAGUAAUGAAGAAAUAUAAAGAUGGAAUGACGAACCUGUGUAAAAUGUAUUGUAAAUAUCAAGCCAGAUGGCAAUAUAAACCAUGGUAAUCUCCCACGGGAAUAGAACAGAAGAGAUGUUAGAAAGAAGAGAAAGGAAACUCUAGAAUGUUAAACCCACGUUGUCCUUCACCAACCCUUCCCUGGUAGCUUUGCUGCAGUACCUGACUCCGUUGUAAAAUGUAUUGUAUGAAAAUAAAAAACACAUUGAAAUUGUUUAUGAGAAAAGACUG